GACGAACGCUGGCGGCGUGCUUAACACAUGCAAGUCGAGCGGUAAGGCCCUUUCGGGGGUACACGAGCGGCGAACGGGUGAGUAACACGUGGGUGACCUGCCUUUAGCUCUGGGAUAAGCCUGGGAAACUGGGUCUAAUACCGGAUAUGACUCCAUGAUGCAUGUUGUGGGGUGGAAAGCCUUGUGCGGCUGGAGAUGGGCCCGCGGCCUAUCAGCUUGUUGGUGGGGUGAUGGCCUACCAAGGCGACGACGAGUAGCCGGCCUGAGAGGGCGACCGGUCACACUGGGACUGAGACACGGCCCAGACUCCUACGGGAGGCAGCAGUGGGAAUAUUGCACAAUGGGCGAAAGCCUGAUGCAGCGACGCCGCGUGAGGGAUGAC
rnacentral:rRNA from 1 species